CAGCAGCCGCGGGAAUACGUAGGUCCCGAGCGUUGUCCGGAUUUAUUGGGCGUAAAGCGAGCGCAGGCGGUUUGAUAAGUCUGAAGUUAAAGGCUGUGGCUCAACCAUAGUUCGCUUUGGAAACUGUCAAACUUGAGUGCAGAAGGGGAGAGUGGAAUUCCAUGUGUAGCGGUGAAAUGCGUAGAUAUAUGGAGGAACACCGGUGGCGAAAGCGGCUCUCUGGUCUGUAACUGACGCCGAGGCUCGAAAGCGUGGGGAGCGAACAGGAUUAGAUACCCCCGUAGUCCCUGUCUCUUAUACC
rnacentral:rRNA from 1 species